GGUGGCUCAGAGGUAGAGUGCUUGCCUUGCAUGCAUGAGGACCUGGGUUCGAUUCCUCAGCACCA
rfam:Dipodomys ordii contig_37255, whole genome shotgun sequence.